UCAUGGAGCCGAAGCCGGUCGAAGAUACCAGCUGGCUGCAACUGUUUAAUAAAAACACAGCACUGUGCAAACACGAAAGUGGACGUAUACGGUGUGACGCCUGCCCGGUGCUGGAAGGUUAAUUGAUGGGGUUAUCCGUAAGGAGAAGCUCUUGAUCGAAGCCCCAGUAAACGGCGGCCGUAACUAUAACGGUCCUAAGGUAGCGAAAUUCCUUGUCGGGUAAGUUCCGACCUGCACGAAUGGCGUAAUGAUGGCCAGGCUGUCUCCACCCGAGACUCAGUGAAAUUGAACUCGCUGUGAAGAUGCAGUGUACCCGCGGCAAGACGGAAAGACCCCGUGAACCUUUACUAUAGCUUGACACUGAACAUUGAGCCUUGAUGUGUAGGAUAGGUGGGAGGCUUUGAAGCGUGGACGCCAGUCUGCGUGGAGCCG
rnacentral:rRNA from 1 species